UACGGAGGGUGCAAGCGUUGUUCGGAAUUAUUGGGCGUAAAGGGCAGGUAGGUGGUCUUGAAAGUCUGCUGUGAAAUCCCCGAGCUUAACUUGGGAAGUGCGGCAGAUACUCCAAGACUAGAGUACUGGAGGGGUUCGUGGAAUUCCCGGUGUAGCGGUGAAAUGCGUAGAUAUCAGGAGGAACACCGGUGGCGAAGGCGGGUCUCUGGGCCGAUACUGACGCUGAGGAGCGAAAGCAUGGGUAGCGAACAGG
rnacentral:rRNA from 1 species